GAAAUGACAAGCCUGAAUAAAAACAAACGUUUGCCGAGUGAAAACCGUGAAAACAAACUUUCGGAAGAUUCCCGAAGAUUUUUCAGGUGUCGAAAAAGUCGUACAAUGGCUGAACAACUGGAUUCCGACGAAUUCGGCGAUCUACAUCUACCGGAACAUCCAGAAAACUAAAACGAUUUAAGGUACGAAUUGGUAAUGGCCAGUCUGCUUUAGUGUGUCAUAUAAACGGAAAUAAAACACAAUCCGACAGAGGAAGCGUAAACAAUGUUGUGUAUGGAAGAAGGCCAGAAGUUGUUUCACUGGAGGGCGAUAGAAAAGGAUCUUUUACUGACAACAUUACAGAUCGAAAAUGAAAUGAAAAAAGGCUUCUGAUAUACAGCGAGCAUUACGAAUCAGUCACUCCAACCAGCGCCGUUGAAAGCGAAUCUAAACUAUGCAGAAGAUUCUAAAAGCCUAAUGCAAUUGGAUUGAGAAUGUAUUAUGGUAUUGUUCCAUACUCUGGCGAAACUUUGAUGAGGAAACAAGAGAUGAAAAACCCAAACAACCGUUUGUUCUUGGGUUUUCAGGCUGCGGGUGUAAUAUUAUAGAAUUACAAAUGAAGAAAUUCAACAGUUUUUUUUGUAUAUCAUGAUACAUUUUGUGAAAAAAGAGGAAAUUCUUAAUACAUCUGAAACAAAAAAAAAAUUGAAAAAUAGAAUGGAAGAAAAGUAUAAAUCCUAGAAACUUAUAAGUUUUCUAAAGGUUAAAUUGCCAGCUGAUCGUGGCCAAGAGACUGGCGUCCUUGUCUUCUAAGCCAACGGUCAUGAGAUUGGAUUGCGGUCAUGCUAGCCGGGU